GAACGCUGGCGGCAGGCCCUAACACUUGCAAGUCGAGCGGUAGCACAGAGAGCUUGCUCUCGGGUGACGAGCGGCGGACGGGUGAGUAAUGUCUGGGAAACUGCCUGAUGGAGGGGGAUAACUACUGGAAACGGUAGCUAAUACCGCAUAACGUCGCAAGACCAAAGUGGGGGACCUUCGGGCCUCAUGCCAUCAGAUGUGCCCAGAUGGGAUUAGCUAGUAGGUGGGGUAAUGGCUCACCUAGGCGACGAUCCCUAGCUGGUCUGAGAGGAUGACCAGCCACACUGGCCCUGAGACACGGUCCAGACUCCUACGGGAGGCAGCAGUGGGGAAUAUUGCACAAUGGGCGCAAGCCUGAUGCAGCCAUGCCGCGUGUAUGAAGAAGGCCUUCGGGUUGUAAAGUACUUUCAGCGAGGAGGAAGGCGUUAAGGUUAAUAACCUUGGUGAUUGACGUUACUCGCAGAAGAAGCACCGGCUAACUCCGUGCCAGCAGCCGCGGUAAUACGGAGGGUGCAAGCGAAAAUCGGAAUUACUGGGCGUAAAGCGCACGCAGGCGGUCUGUCAAGUCGGAUGUGAAAUCCCCGGGCUCAACCUGGGAACUGCAUUCGAAACUGGCAGGCUAGAGUCUUGUAGAGGGGGGUAGAAUUCCAGGUGUAGCGGUGAAAUGCGUAGAGAUCUGGAGGAAUACCGGUGGCGAAGGCGGCCCCCUGGACAAAGACUGACGCUCAGGUGCGAAAGCGUGGGGAGCAAACGGGAUUAGAUACCCUGGUAGUCCACGCCGUAAACGAUGUCGACUUGGAGGUUGUGCCCUUGAGGCGUGGCUUCCGGAGCUAACGCGUUAAGUCGACCGCCUGGGGAGUACGGCCGCAAGGUUAAAACUCAAAUGAAUUGACGGGGGCCCGCACAAGCGGUGGAGCAUGUGGUUUAAUUCGAUGCAACGCGAAGAACCUUACCUACUCUUGACAUCCAGAGAACUUAGCAGAGAUGCUUUGGUGCCUUCGGGAACUCUGAGACAGGUGCUGCAUGGCUGUCGUCAGCUCGUGUUGUGAAAUGUUGGGUUAAGUCCCGCAACGAGCGCAACCCUUAUCCUUUGUUGCCAGCGGUUCGGCCGGGAACUCAAAGGAGACUGCCAGUGAUAAACUGGAGGAAGGUGGGGAUGACGUCAAGCAUCAUGGCCCUUACGAGUAGGGCUACACACGUGCUACAAUGGCAUAUACAAAGAGAAGCGACCUCGCGAGAGCAAGCGGACCUCAUAAAGUAUGUCGUAGUCCGGAUUGGAGUCUGCAACUCGACUCCAUGAAGUCGGAAUCGCUAGUAAUCGUAGAUCAGAAUGCUACGGUGAAUACGUUCCCGGGCCUUGUACACACCGCCCGUCACACCAUGGGAGUGGGUUGCAAAAGAAGUAGGUAGCUUAACCUUCGGGAGGGCGCUUACCACUUUGUGAUUCA
rnacentral:rRNA from 1 species